AAAGAGAGCAAGAAGAAAACCCAGUCCACUCUCUUUUCAUUUCAUCUGUUCUACCCUGCCAUCCCUCCCUCUGCUAGGUCAGCUUUCAGCAGGAUUAUGAGAUCAUGAUUCACCAAGGAUACAAUAAAAAUUAAUGUGAGCCUGUUGGAAUGAAGGCUAAAACAGAGGAAGUAGUAGAGCAAUAGAUGUGUACCUGUACCUGAGGUGGACAGCCUGUAUAAUCAAAGAACUGGACCAACAGAAUGAGGCGCUAGGCCACAUGAAGCUAAGGUAGUCAUCCAAUUCUAAGACUCGAAACAAGAAGCAGAAGUCACUUAUAUGCACACAGCCUUCCAUUCUGCAUGAGAAAAUAAACACCAAACCAUCAGCAACUGGUACACUCCUUUGUUGGUGGCAGAAAGAUUAAACCAUGCAAGCCUUGGAUCAUGCAGGGAAACGUCACUUUAGCCCCUAGCCACCAUCAUAAAACCCAAGACAGUCUCCAUUCCCUGCUCUCUCAACCAUUUUCAGACCUGCUUGAGAAUCUGUUUUCCCCAGGAAUCUUCAAUCCAUGAUGAAUAA